rnacentral:lncRNA from 1 species
UAACAAUUGGUAUCAGAGCCUAACUCUCUGAAAGCCUUAACCGGUUGAGAGCGAUAUAUAUUUUUUUGUUGAGAAUAUUGAACGCAGGAAUAAUGACCGAAGGACACUCCACCGAGAGGCCUCCAUUUUUUUAUGGAAGAAAUUAUACAUAAUGGAAAGAGCGGAUGAGAAUCUUCAUCCAAUCAAAUAACUUUCGAUUAUGGCAAAUCAUCAAGAACGGUGAACAAAUGCCAACAAAGAAAGUUGGG